AUGGGUUCAGAGGAUAACCCUGGGCAGAGCCUUGGCCACAACACGGCUCUGACCCCUGGACAGUUGGAAAGAAACCAGAGGGCAGGGGGUCCUGCAUGGGCAGCAAAGUCCACCUGCUCUGCCCACGUCCUCAGGGCUUCCUGCAGAGUGAAGGUCCCCAGGGCCGGACUGAUCCUCACAGCUGGGCGACAGGUCUCCUUGGAUGGGCCCCUCUGCAGGCGCCAUGCCGUGCACAGGAGGGGACCCCAGCCUGAGCUCAUGCGCCCCUCCGUGGCAAGACUCCCGCCCUUGGUGCGCAUCCACGGUGAAAACCUCACGGCCAGGUACCGGAGAGGCUCCUGGGCUUAUUUCAUCUUCGCGAAUUCUGGGUGCUAUAGCCAUCUAUUCCUUUGUUUUGGCCACACUUAUGGAGUGCCCGUGUGUGCCUUCCAGGACCCUGCAGACCGGAGGCCUGCACCUGCCGUUUGGAGUCGGAUGGGGCGAGACACUAUGGGGCGCACUGCCAAGGAGAAGUUCUAUAGAGGGGACGGUACAAGGAAGACACAGGAAGUUGGGGAGCACUUUUGGUUGCUGCUUCUCUCCCGAGCUGUCCCUUGUUUGUCUGAGAGCGUACUUUUCCUUCCUGUCCACAGCCGCUGGAACCUACAGUCAGGUGACUCCAGUGCCUGCCUGCUUGGCAUGGGCUUGUCCCCCAUGUGUUUGCUGGUUUGGGACGGUAUCCAGGAUGCCAUGAAUGGUGUGAUUUAGAUUCUGGAUCCUGACUUGUUCCUCUGGAGAGUUUUUGGUGGCCAGGUGUCCUUGGCUGGGCUCAGACUUUGAGCAUGGUGUGUUUGCUAGGACAAGGAUGUCCCUUCCUUCCCCCUGAGGCUUGCUGGCUGCACGGUCUGUCUCGGGCGUGCAGAGAUGUGUCCCAGGCAUGCGUGCGGGCUCGGAGCUCACCCUCCUUCCCAGGAUGCCCCAUCCUUGUUCAGAGCUCAGGCUAUCUCUAGCUUUGUUCUCCGGUUCUUUAAACUAGGAGCAUCGGGAGGUUUCCGUCCAAGCCUUAGCCACCGGCCUCUCCUGAGUGGGGCUGUGCUCAUCGGGAAGCUGUUAAAAUUAAAAAAAAAAAAAAAAAAAAAAAAAAAAA
rnacentral:lncRNA from 1 species